rnacentral:rRNA from 1 species
CCGGCGAACGGGUGCGUAACACGUGAGCGACCUGCCUUUCCGCGGGGGAUAGCCGGCCCAACGGCCGGGUAAUACCGCAUACGCUGCGUCGGGGGCAUCCCUGGCGUAGGAAACCUCCGGGGCGGAGAGAGGGGCUCGCGACCUAUCAGCUAGUUGGCGAGGUAACGGCUCACCAAGGCGGCGACGGGUAGCUGGUCUGAGAGGAUGGCCAGCCACAUUGGGACUGAGAUACGGCCCAG